rnacentral:snRNA from 8 species
AUACUUACGUGGCAAGGGAGACACCGUGAUCAAGAAGGCGGUUCACCCAGGGCGAGGCUCAGCCAUUGCACUCCGGCUGUGCUGACCCCUGCGAAUUUCCCAAAUGUGGAAAUCUCCAUUGCAUAAUUUCUGGU